rnacentral:lncRNA from 1 species
GGUUUGCGUGAACCUGAUCUGGUCUUAAGAACCUCGGUGGCGGGUUGACAUAUGCAAGGGUUAAGUGCUACAUAUGUCGUGUGAUUGGAGAUCCUCAGCUGAGUAUAAUCGAUUCGGAUCGCCGUACCUUCGCGGUUAUGAAGACUUGGUCACUUCCCUACAACCUAAGUCAGGAUGCGAACUUCAUGAAUAAAAAUGAUAUUGUAUUAAUGAAAUGAUAAAAUUAGACUAGAGGCAAACAGAGUCUAUUAAUAUUUAAUCUGACGUUAAAAUGUUGAAAGUAAGGACUCACUUUAGUAAGCUAUUUCUGCAAAAGUAUCUAAGUUGAUUUUUGCUAAAGCCUCUCCUUGACUCCUAUUUAUCCAGCAUACCCUUGAGAGUCUUUUCCUUAGUCGGGUAAGACUUGCUGAGUAAUUCCAUACUCAGGGUUUUAUUCCCUGUUGUUUUUCAGGUUCUAACUUUGUGCUGUUGUUGAUGGGGUUAAGUGCCGGUGGGCUCGGCCUUCUUAUAAGUCUAAGUAACCCUUCUAUACUUCUUAUUGAGGAUGAUCCCUUGAGCUAGCAUAUAUUUCAAACUUAUACUUUUGUAACCACUCCGAUAAACUAAUGUAAAAUUUUUGUAACCUGUAAAAUUUGGUAGUAAGAUUUCCGCUGCAACAAUAUUGGUGUGUGUGAUUUGUGUUACUUAAUCCCGCGGUUCUGGUUGUAAGUGGUUUAUCCGAUGUCCUUGGGGCAAUCGGACGGAUCCUGUUAAGUUAUCUGGUGCACAUGCAUAGCAGUCUGAGGUCUUUGAGACAAGGACAGGUGCAUGUGGGCCCAAUAACUUGGGAGGUUCUGCCACAGCUGGUAUCGGAGCUGGAUUAAGUAUAUACGGUCACAUACAUAUUUUCAAAACAAAGGUUUUGGUUUUGAAAACCCUAUUUUCAACUAAACACAUUCUUUGGCUUUGAAAAACAGCUUUGAAAAACUAUAAUGCUAGCGACAUCCUCUGUUAAGCCCUAAGUUAAGGACUAUUAGGUGGCUUAUUUAAAAACCACUAACCCACAACCGGGUGGGUAUUGCAUACAUGUGUAUUGUUAUUUUUAAGGCCAUUCAGUUUUGAAUGGAUCGACGCUCAGGUAAGGUGAGAUGUGAGAGCAUGACCGAACAACCGUCGGUCUAGGGGAGUGCUUAAUUGUGGCGCUUGAUUAUAUACAUGUUCCACAUAUGUAUAUAUGAAGGCUGCGAUAUGGAGUAUUUUCUUUUCUGGGAAUUCAGUACCCCAUGUGUGUGUAUGGGUAUACAGACAUGGGAAUACUGAGAAGUGUAAUGUACUUGUAACGACGCACUUACGCUCAGGUAAGAAGGUGAGUUACCAUAAUGGGUUGCCCUAUGGUUAAAGUGUGGCAACAGCGCCUAUGCGUGGCUCGGCGCUUAAUGAUGAGCUGGCCUCCAUAUAGCAAUAUAUGGAGUAUAAACUGUGAUAAACUGUCAUGUGUGACUUGCAUCAUUAGGAAAAUGGGCUGUGAUGAAAUUUUCUGCAGGUACCCUAACCUCGAAAACGUAUGUGUAGCUGACGACUAGCAAAAUACCGUGAGAGUCGUAAGUAUGCCACCGAGAUAGAACGCUAUUGCCAUAUUAAAUUGGCAAAAAUUCGUGAGGACGUGUAGGACGAGCAUGCAUCCUGAUUGUUGCAUUAUGUUUGUCACCUAUACACCCAAAAUGCUUCUCUCACCUUUAUUCUAAUAACCGGUGAUUGUAGAUAAUGUGGUGUAAUGUUGUAUUGUGAACUUCGAUAAAAUAGUUGUCCUCCGUUCUUUAGGUAACCUGUUAAGGUGUUAUAUGUGUUUGCUCUUGUGCUUGAUGUGUUGAUAGAAAGUUGGUAAUUGUUCGCCUAAACCCAGAACUAGGCCAUGUUCUUAUUUAGUGAACUAUGACCCCAAAGUUGAAUUCUCCAUUAUCACUCCAUGACCAAACUCAUGCAAAUAAAUGCGUAGACAAUUUCCUUAUUGGACAUAAAAUGUACCUAAGCUUAAAACAAGUAUCUCAAGUCAUGUCUUCUUCUAGAACCAUUCCUUUGUUCAGUUGAUGCCUUGGUUUCCUCAUGUUUAUCGAAGGCAUAUCAACUUAAUCCUUGACCUUGUGAUCUCUACGGUGGACAUAGAAAUAUGCUUGGGGCUGAAUUAACAGUUUCCCAUCGUACUCCUUCCAACAAGUUUAUGUUAUGGCCAUACCUUGUCCGUUUCAUCGGGCCAUGAUCUAUCUGGUCUCUACUUAUAACCGUUCUUACAGGUAGAGUAUCUCUUUGUAUAUUAUCACCCUUGCCCAGUCUAAUUGUGUUGUGCGAGAUUUCUUAUUGGUUUUGUCUGGUAAUGGUGUUAUGACUAAAACCGGUGGUGCCGUGACGAAACCGAGGGCCUUCUGUGUGUGCGCACACAUGGUCGUGCUGCUCGGCAUGCGCUGGUAUCACGGUUAGUAGUUGUAAUCCAUUAUGAGACUAUAUCAAUGUGUUAUUUUGGCACAAUCUAGUUUUAACACGUGAGAUUCAUUAUUGGUGCCAGUUCGGUAAUGGUGUCACGAUUAAUGACUUAUGGUGCCGCAGCGAAACUGAGAGCCCCUUGUGAAUGUACAUGCAAGGUUAUGCUGCUUGGCGCAUGCUGGUAUCAAGGUCCCUAGUCAUGAUCCAUUGUGGAACUACACUGAUGUGUUAUCUUUCGUGGACCUUCCCUUGAAACAAAUUCUAUGUUGUUUGUGAAGUGAUCAAGCAACAUAUAUCAUCUUUAUUGGAUCCAAAAAGGGCAUACCACUUUCGUGUGUGGUCUCUUUUCUUUGAUCUUGAUAGUGAUUACUUGUACAAGUUCCCUUUACAUCCUUUGUGUAAAGGUGAAACCUUGGAGCUUUUUAGUGUUGGAAGACAGCUGAUUAGCUCUAAAAUGGAGAUUGAUUUUCCCUACAGCUGAAAUGCAGGAGUUUGUCCAGUUGUUCUCUUACUUAAUCCAUGUAUUCCCUAACCAAGUGGAUGAUUCAUCUCGCCUGAAGAAACGGAUGAACAACCUGACCAAAUGGAUUUCUACCCAAAUGCAUGAUCAACUGUUAACAAGAGUGAACUCUCAACCCUUGGCUUACCGAUGGUACUGAGAGGGCUUGCUCAAUGUCAAAAGUAGUUCAACAAGUUGGUUUUACUAACUCACUUUGGUUCAACCCAUCUUAAGGAAGUACUUUCAAGAAUCGAGAUUAAGUCGACCAGAAACCACCUAGUUAUCGCUCUAGUCAUGCCUCGAUCGCCUCACGUGUGCUUUUCCAGCAUGUGUGAUCAAGUCGAGCCAUGGUUAGUACUUGCUAAAAUGGAUUGGUUGCAAAGACAACAUCUACAGAUCCCUCCGCUGGUGAUUCUCUCGAAUCUAUAUCACCUUUCAGGGACUUGGAUUUUCUGGCUAGCCACGCGUCAACUGUGAUGUUAUUCGGCAUUCACACCCGUCUCGUGUGCUAUGAAUUUCCUGUAACCACUUGUUGGUAAACUCCUUUUGUGUGUUUUACCCAAGAGGUUGCAUCUGAUUCUGUUAGGAUAAAAUCGCAUAAUUACCUCUCGCUCAACAGACUCAGAUAGUACAGUGUCAUCAGAAAAAGCGAACUGCACACAUGGAACCUUAUGUGUUCCUUUGGCAGAUAUCGUCUCUAUUGGUGGACAUUUCUAAAUUAGCCUAAGGCGAUACAUGUUAUGCCCACUAGAGAAGCAACAUUCCGAGACACUCGCCUCUGCUUGGAACUGCCAUAUAAUUAUCGCUGAUAUGGACAUGGGUUACAUGCUUCUCUACUCUUAGAAGUCUUUCGCUCCGAAUCUCGGGACGAGAUUCUUUUAAGGGGGGAGGGUUGUAACACCGCAGGUGUUUAUAUUCCGCUCGACAACGAGUACGGAUUUAAGCACGUAAUAUCAGUAAAUAAAACAGAUACUUUAUUCUAAUUAUUUUCACCAUCGCGAUUUUAGGAUCGCAUCUGUUUCGUCUGUCGCGAGUGCGACGUCGUUUUUAUUUUCAUCUAUUUAGGCUCGUCCUAAAUUUUCGUGAUGUUCGGAACAUAGCUGUUCCGAAAAUCGGUGCGUCCAGUGAUUAUUUAAAAUUCAUCGCUCGCGCGAAUACGAAUUCGGAAGCCCGACCCACUCGGAUGAUUUUUAUCCUGAGCAAAUUAGUGUGAACUUAACAACUAAAAUGUUCGGGGUAAAAUAAUUUGUAUCGCGCAUUGUCCGAGAAAAAUCGUGCGCAAAGUUAUUAUCCAAUUUAUUCUUCGGCACACUCUGUAAAAUAAUAAAAUCAACUGUGUUUAGACAUCGGAUAAAUUUUUAUCCGAGAUCGACUAAAUCAGUAUUGUCUCAAAAUAAUGUAUCUGAUAUCCAGUCCGUUUCCGUGUUGCCGAAAUCAGCUUAUUUCGGUCUGUCGUUUCUUGACCGAUCCAAAACCUCGGAUAAAUAACUAGUAAAAAUUCAUCUGAUUCCGAGAGUGUUCACCAUAUUGAAUUCGCUGAUGUUAUUUUCAUCAAACACAUUUGUGCCUCUUUUAAACCCUAGAAAUUAGAUUUGUCUCUAUAUCUACAUUAACUAAAUGCAGAAAAUAUCUUUCUAUCCUAUCCAGCUAUCGUGUAGACUUGGCCUCAUCCUCUAAUUACUCCACACGUCUUCUAUUAUUCUUAUUUUCUAUACGUUCCUAUCCUCUAGCUGAUAUUUUCUGCACAUGAAGUCCUCCCUCACAAAUCUCUGCUUGCUCGGCAUUAGAAGCUCGCACACGUCCCUCUCCCUCUUGUAUUUUCUCUCCAUUAGUCUCCACAACGUUCCUGAUAUAUACAACGUUCCUGAUAUUUUUCAUCAGAUUGAUUUUUUCCCUUGAACGGUUGAGCCUCAUCCUUCCCACCGCUCUUUCUCUGUUAUAUUUCCUUGGCAUCAUAAACAUACGAAUUAGUGGAACCAAGGUUUAUAUAAAAACAAAAACAAGAAAUUUCAAUAUGUUAUUUUUAUCGACCUUAUCCCAUGCUGCCCAGAAGUAUCUCACCACCGCUUUAUUCAGUCUUAUCCUCCUGAUGCCCUCGCUCAUGUGAAAUAUCCUUAACGUCUUCUCCUCCUACGCAGAUAUAUUCACUACUAGGCGCAUUUCCUUUCUUCCCAUUGCGCAACACCCCCGCGGUAGUAUCCAACUGGUCGUCAGCUUGUCGCUCUCCGUCCUGGACAUCGCUCCCAGCACACUCGUCCUUGGCUCGGCAUCCCCCUCGAGCUCGUCCUCUCCUCAUCUCCAUGGUCGUCGUAUCUGCUCCUCCGUUCAAGCUAUUUAGGUCCGGCCGUCGAUGCGUCCAUGGGUCUCCGGCCUUGCUUGCCCGUCGCACGCGAGGCUGACUCUCUGCCUCGCUGUGCUCGUCGGGGUCACCCUCCAUGCUGGUGCUCACCCUUAUGGCGUCCCUCGUCUCCCUGGGCUCCUUUUGUCGCGUCCAGUUCUAGUCACUGUUAUCCGCUGAACCACCGUCGCGCCGGGUUGCCCCUGAUUCGUGGAAUUCACCGGCUUUCCCGUGCGCAGUCGCGGAUGCCGUCGCUCGGCCCUUGUGUCUUGCUGAGCUCAUCACCGUCGCUUAUCCCUAACGCUCGUCAUGGACCUCGUCGUCGGCCUACGUUGUAUCCACGACAUGCUUGUCGACUCUGAUGAUCUGUUUUCCAAUUGCGUGCUGCCUACGUCGAUUUUCGGAACUCCUUGCCGUGCUCGACUCUGCAAGUCUCCAACUCGUUGUUAUUCGUGCAUCCCCAAGAGAUCCCAAGAAUCGGGUGAAGACGAAGUUAACAGCGCGAUAUUCCCCCAAGCGCUCGACAAAUUGCUUGGAUCGGAAAAUCGCUACCGAUCUCGUAGAUUCAUCUCAUCUGUGGAAACGGUAAGCUGAUAAAUUAUUUAGAAUAGUUCGAUCGUUGAAUAAAUUAAUGUGUUAGUGCGAGGCUUAUUAAGGUGCUCGAUAAAUUGCGUGAGUCACGAAACUCUCGUCGACUUCGCAGUUCUUGUGAUUAUCGAGCCAGAUUCAGCUAUAGCGAAUUAUUUCGGUAUUCCGGUCACUUAGCUGAAUUAGUGGAUCGAGUAGAAUUUUAGUAGGCAUGUGUGUUGAUGAAAUAAUUUAAUCACUUAUAAAGAUGUAGUAUAAUUUAUAAGGCAAGGGAUUAGUUCAGAAUUAAAUUAAUUAACUGAUAAGUUAUGAUUAGGCUAAUUGUAUUUCGUGUGUAUAGUUUGUUGUUCGUGAUGUUUGUGUUAGGUUCGAGAAGCGUAAUUAUUGCGCUUAGUCGUACGUCUGUAACUAGUGUUUCCGUAUAAAAUUAUACAACGCCUCGCCGAUCGGUGUUUAAAUUCGCCAUCGCGUAGCACUAUUUAGGGUUUUUGAUAUUCAUGUCUAUAUGCAUUCAUAUGCAUAAUGCAUUUCAUUCAGGUACGUUAAUUAAUCGCGCGAUGUGGAAGACAAGCCAAGUCGACCCCAAGCGCGGGCUAAUCCGCAGGAUGAUGCUGAUGGACAAACCUGAAAAUGGCCGCCAAGUGGACGUCGUCUAACAACACUAACCUAGUGUUACCCAGGCAAGCCCCGGUGCAUGCAACCCUUUCCUUGUGUUUUUAAAUAAUUUUCGCACACUUUAAGUCUAGUGAAAUGUGCAUUAGGUUCAUAGGAGUUGCUUGGAACCCUUUGAUGCAUUGCUUUCCUUGAUAUCCAUACCUUUAUAGAUACUUCUGUGAAGUAUCAAAAUAUGAUUUACAAAAAUGCUUAGCCUUGCUUAGAUCUUGUGGAUAGAGGUUGUCCUUAGCCUAGCUCGAGAAAGGAUGACUUCUACCUGCAAGAAUAUUUUCAUUUGGAGCAAUGGUGGGAUCUUACUGCAAAGUUCCCUGUGAUGCUCUUUUCAUCCUAAGGAACAGAAACAAUCCUAAGGAUGAAAAUACUUAAAUUGAGACUUGGGUUAGGAACAGGUGAUGUUCUACCCAGGUUGAUUAAGGAUUGAAUGCGUAUGUAGGCGUGCUGAUCGAGGACCCUUUAACUGGUCACAUGCCUCAUCAUGGGUAAGUCUUGCCUCGGGCAGACUAAGGCCAGAAUAAGAUAACACGAAAUGGGCGUGGAGCGGUGGCGAGAGUAGCGUGUACCCUCUGUGGCAAGAGGCUGGACGGUGGUGUAUCUGUGCUCUCGGUUUGCGUGAACCUGAUCUGGUCUUAAGAACCUCGGUGGCGGGUUGACAUAUGCAAGAGUUUAGUGCUACAUAUGUCGUGUGAUUGGAGAUCCUCAGCUGAGUAUAAUCGAUUCGGAUCGCCGUACCUUCGCGGAUAUGAAGACUUGGUCACUUCCCUACAACCUAAGUCAGGAUGUGAACUUCGUGAAUAAAAAUGAUAUUGUAUUAAUGAAAUGAUAAAAUUAGACUAGAGGCAAACAGAGUCUAUUAAUAUUUAAUCUGGCGUUAAAAUGUUGAAAGUAAGGACUCACUUUAGUAAGCUAUUUCUGCAAAAGUAUCUAAGUUGAUUUUUGCUAAAGCCUCUCCUUGACUCCUAUUUAUCCAGCAUACCCUUGAGAGUCUUUUCCUUAGUCGGGUAAGACUUGUUGAGUAAUUCCAUACUUAGGGUUUUAUUCCCUGUUGUUUUUCAGGUUCUAACUUUGUGAUGUUGUUGAUGGGGUUAAGUGCCGGUGGGCUCGGCCUUCUUAUAAGUCUAAGUAACCCUUCUAUACUUCUUAUUGAGGAUGAUCCCUUGAGCUAGCAUAUAUUUCAAACUUAUACUUUUGUAACCACUCCGAUAAACUAAUGUAAAAUUUUUGUAACCUGUAAAAUUUGGUAGUAAGAUUUCCGCUGCAACAAUAUUGGUGUGUGUGAUUUGUG